rnacentral:rRNA from 260 species
GUAACAAGGUCUCCGUUGGUGAACCAGCGGAGGGAUCAUUA